rnacentral:rRNA from 1 species
UUUUUUCAAUUAUUAAAUUUAUGUUUUAGAAGUUUUUAUUUGUUUAAUUAGUUUUAUGAAAUGAUUUUAUUUAUUUAUUUAAACAGUAAUGGUUUAUGUUUUUAUAUUUAAAAGAAAAAUUUAAUUUUUGUACCUUUUGUAUCAGGGUCUAUUAAUUAUUUUUUAAUUAUUUAUUUUUCCCGAAUUUUUAAGAGUUAAUAAAAAAUUUAUUUUAUUGUAGAAUAAAUAUUUAUAAUUUUUAUUGGAAGUUAUAUGCUAGUCGUUUAAUAAUAUAUCUGGUUCUUGAAGAGAAAAAUUUAAUUUUUUAGAUAAAAGGAUUGUAUUAGUUAUUAUUAUGUUCUUUUUGUUUGGAAAAAUUUAAUGGGAUGAGCUUUUAAAUUUUUCUAUAAAAUAUUUUUUUAUUAAUUGGGUUGUAAGAUUUAAAUUUUCUAUUAUUAAAUUAUGUUAUAUUUUUUCUAUUUUUUUUAUUAUUUUUUUAUUUUUAGGGUUUUAUUCAAGAUUUUUUGUUAAUUAUUUAUAUUAAAUUAUUAUGAUAGAAUUAGUAAUUAUUAAUGUUUUUUUAUUUUUAUUUUUUAUAUUAAAAAAAGGAACUCGGCAAAUAUUUUCUUCGCCUGUUUAUUAAAAACAUGUCUUUUUGUUUUUAUUUAAGGUUUGGCCUGCUCACUGAAAUUUUUAAGAGCCGCGGUAUUUUAACCGUGCGAAGGUAGCAUAAUAAUUAGUCUUUUUAUUGGGGACUGGAAUGAAUGGCUGGACGAAAGAGAAUCUGUCUCUUUUUAAUUUAUUGAAUUUUACUUUUAAGUCAAAAGGCUUAAAUGUUUUUAAAAGACGAGAAGACCCUAUAGAGUUUUAUUUAUUUAUUUUUGGCAAGGUUUAGGUAUAUAUUCUUUUAAAUUUUAUAUAAGUUUUGUUGGGGUGAUAGGAAAAUUUAAUUAACUUUUCUUUUAUUUAUACAUUUAUUUAUGGGAGACAGAUCCAUUUUUUAUGAUUUUAAGUUAAAUUACCUUAGGGAUAACAGCGUAAUUUUUCUUUAGAGUUCUUAUCGAAAGAAAAGAUUGCGACCUCGAUGUUGGAUUAAAAUUUAUUUUUGGUGUAGAAGCUAAAACUUUAAGUCUGUUCGACUUUUAAAAUUUUACAUGAUCUGAGUUUAGACCGGCGUGAGCCAGGUUAGUUUCUAUCUUUAGUUAUUUUAAUUUAUUUAGUACGAGAGGACCAAUUAGUUGAUUAAUAAUUUUAUUUUGAAUUUCAUU